rnacentral:rRNA from 1 species
AACGAACGCUGGCGGCAGGCCUAACACAUGCAAGUCGAACGCACCGCAAGGUGAGUGGCGCACGGGUGAGUAACACGUGGGAAUGUACCCUUUGGUUCGGAAUAACGUUUGGAAACGAACGCUAAUACCGGAUGAGCCCUGUGGGGGAAAGAUUUAUCGCCAAAGGAGCAGCCCGCGUCUGAUUAGCUAGUUGGUGGGGUAAAGGCCUACCAAGGCACGAUCGGAGUAGGCUGGUCUGAGAGGAUGAUCAGCCACACUGGGACUGAGACACGGCCCAGACUCCUACGGGAGGCAGCAGUGGGGAAUAUUGGACAAUGGGCGGAAGCCUGAUCCAGCCAUGCCGCGUGAGUGAUGAAGGCCUUGGGUUGUAAAGCUCUUUCGCACGCGACGAUGAUGACGGUAGCGUGAGAAGAAGCCCCGGCUAACUUCGUGCCAGCAGCCGCGGUAAU